rnacentral:rRNA from 1 species
GUAGUCCACGCCGUAAACGAUGAAUACUAGCUGUUGGGGGUAUCGACCCCCCCAGUAGCGAAGCUAACGCGUUAAGUAUCCCGCCUGUGGAGUACGGUCGCAAGACUAAAACAUAAAGGAAUUGACGGGGACCCGCACAAGCGGUGGAUCAUGUUCUUUAAUUCGAUGAUAAACGAAGAACCUUACCAGGGCUNNNCAUCCCGUGAAUUAAUCCGAAAGGAUUGAGUGCUUUAUUGAGCACGGUGACAGGUGAUGCAUGGCCGUCGUCAGCUCGUGUCGUGAGAUGUUUGGUUAAGUCCAUCAACGAGCGCAACCCUUGUGAAUAGUUGUAUUUUUCUAUUCAAACUGCCCCGGCAACGGGGAGGAAGGAGGGGAUGAUGUCAGGUCAGUAUUUCCCUUACGUCCUGGGCUAGAAACGUGAUACAAUGGCCGGUACAAUGCGCAGCGAAGCCGCGAGGUGAAGCAAAUCGCAUCAAAGCCGGUCCCAGUUCAGAUAAGAGGCUGAAACUCGCCUCUUUGAAGUCGGAAUCGCUAGUAAUCGCAGAUCAGCAUGUUGCGGUGAAUACGUUCCCGGGUCUUGUACACACCGCCCGUCAAACCAUGAAAGUGACCAACACCCGAAGUCCGAUUCGUCGGCCUAAGGUGGGGGGCAUGAUUGGGGUU